CAGCAGCCGCGGUAAUACAGAGGGUGCAAGCGUUAAUCGGAAUUACUGGGCGUAAAGCGCGCGUAGGUGGUUCGUUAAGUUGGAUGUGAAAGCCCCGGGCUCAACCUGGGAACUGCAUCCAAAACUGGCGAGCUAGAGUACGGUAGAGGGUGGUGGAAUUUCCUGUGUAGCGGUGAAAUGCGUAGAUAUAGGAAGGAACACCAGUGGCGAAGGCGACCACCUGGACUGAUACUGACACUGAGGUGCGAAAGCGUGGGGAGCAAACAGGAUUAGAUACCCGCGUAGUCCCUGUCUCUUAUAC
rnacentral:rRNA from 1 species